rnacentral:rRNA from 1 species
GUAAGGAAUAUUGGUCAAUGGACGAAAGUCUGAACCAGCCAUGCCGCGUGAAGGAUGAAGGCCCUCUGGGUUGUAAACUUCUUUUAUCUGGGACGAAAAAAGGGUAUUCUUACUCACUUGACGGUACCAGAGGAAUAAGCACCGGCUAACUCCGUGCCAGCAGCCGCGGUAAUACGGAGGGUGCAAGCGUUAUCCGGAUUCACUGGGUUUAAAGGGUGCGUAGGUGGGUAUUUAAGUCAGUGGUGACAUCUCCGAGCUUAACUCGGGACCUGCACUUGAUACUAUUUACCUUGAAUGCCCUGGAGGUAAGCGGAAUAUGUCAUGUAGCGGUGAAAUGCUUAGAUAUGACAUAGAACACCAAUUGCGAAGGCAGCUUACUACGGGGUGAUUGACACUGAGGCACGCAAGCGUGGGGAGCAAACAGGAUUAGAAACCCCAGUAGUCC